CAAAAGUUCUCUCUGUUACUCAUCAAAGUUUGCUUUGUUUAUGCUUGGCUUGCAUCAAAUGAUUUAAAAAGAUGAGGGUCAAAUCAACAACUCAUCUAUUCUCAGGUAAAAUUUAACUAAACUUCAUUGUUUUCAUAAAAUCAAUUAAUUUCCCCCUGCCCCAUAAUUUCAUAUAUUUAAAAAUACAAUCUUUUUCUUAAGUCUUUGAUAAUCAUUUUAUAUAAUAUAAAAAAAAAUUAUCUUUUUUUAUAUAGUUAGAUAGAUUUGAUAUACAUGUUGACAUGUGGUUAUGAUUGAUCUAAAAAUAUACAUAUAAGUGCUUUUGAUUUGAUGUGUUCUUGCUAUGUUAUAUGUUACUUACUUUGAUAGGUGAGAGUAACUGUGCUAGCUUGUGCGUUCGUGUGGUUUGUCUAUGUUAAUUUCUCUGUGUGUCCAAAUUCUGUUUCUCAUAGGUUAAUUUUGGGUCAUUUCUAAUUCUAAAUUCUUCUUUUCUUUCCAGUUACAAGAUCAUGAAGCACGUGUGCUUUUCAAUAUUCGUCACACCAUCUAUGUAGUAACAUAUAUAUUUAAUAUUAUGAACUAUAUAAUAUACAAAGUAUAUUAUAAAAUCAAUUAUCUUGUUUUAAUUCUGUCUUCUCUCUGUCUCAAUCUAUAUAUAUCUAUUCUCUUUUCUUUAUUUUUUUUUUAUACAAAGGCUUCAUCUAUUUCUUUUUCUUCCUUCUUCUUCUUCUUCUUGCAAUUUUUAAGGUAUCUCUAUAUGAUAAUUUCAUGAAAAAACAUGCAAAAAAUUAAGAAGAAAUGAAUCUCAAACUUGAUUUGUAGAUUCAUCACUUCAAUGUGUUGAUCUAUAUAAAGAUUCAUCGUAAAGCCGAAGGUACGGUGCUAGUUGCUUACAAUUGCAACUCGAGGCCUAAUUCGAGUGAUUUAUGUGCAGAGUGUGUGUUGUAAACUCCGAAGUACUGAAUUCGAUUUAAUAGUAAUACAGAAAAUAAAAACAAAAUUAUACAAUUGCAUGUGUUUGUGUUCUAUUUAUGUUGUGUUGAAACAUGUGGUUUAUGUUGUGUUGUGUGUGUUGGAUUUGAAGUAUGAAAGGUUAUUGUAACUAAUUAACGUACUUGUCUCUCUUUUCAUUUCAGUGAAGUAACAAACAUCAUAUUUUUACUCAAAAAAUAAAGACACCAAUGGCAGCAUACUUUCAUGGUAAUUCUGAAAU
rnacentral:lncRNA from 1 species